AAAGUGUAUGAUAUUGUAUUUUUUAGGUUUUACUCACUUCCUUAUACUUUGGGAAUAUAUAUACAUAUAUUUUAAAUUAUUUAGUACUGUGUAUUCAUACAUUUAAAUUUCAUACUAAAAUUGUAGUUAGCGUCCAGAACAGCUCACACACUGUUCUGAGCUCACGGCAACACUGAAUGCUUUCAUAAAAAGUGGAUGCUAAAUAAUGUAAACUAAAUAAAACACGGUACAAAACAAUUGAUUAAAUACGAUUGAAAAUACCAAGUGAAUAAAAUUAUGUUCUAAAUAAAUAUUUAAUUCUAAAGCAAGCCGGAUUACAGUAUUGUAAAGCAGUGUAACAAUAAAAUACACUGAAGUCAUCUUUGUGCUCUCGUUUUGUUGUUUGAACAUAAUUUGCUGAAACAUAUUUAAUACCCAGUCAUCUACUUAAUUGAAUAAUAUAAACAAA